rnacentral:rRNA from 1 species
AGCGUUAAAGCUUAAUCACCAAUUCACCCAUAAUUCCUUGAUUCCUUAUUAACCCCUCAUCCCUACUGAAUCAUUUUAUACUAUUAUAAAAAUUAUUAUGCUAGAACUAGUAACAAGAAACUGCUUUUCUCCUGAAUGUCAGCCAGAACCGAAAUUAACCCUAUCGGUAUUUAACGUAUAUGCUCUAACUAUAGUAACCCGCAACUAGAAAACCCUAUUAUUUUCAACGUCAACCUUACACUAGAACAUUACAGGAAAGAUUAAAAGAAAGAGAAGGAACUCGGCAAACCACAGCCCCGCCUGUUUACCAAAAACAUCGCCUCUUGCUCCCCAUAAGAGGUCCAGCCUGCCCAGUGACAUAGUUCAACGGCCGCGGUAUCCUAACCGUGCGAAGGUAGCAUAAUCACUUGUUCUCUAAAUAGGGACUAGUAUCAACGGCACCACGAGGGCUGUACUGUCUCCUCUUUCCAAUCAGUGAAACUGAUCUCCCCGUGAAGAAGCGGGGAUUUAUAUAUUAGACGAGAAGACCCCAUGGAGCUUAAAAUUCAAUGUACACCUCCCCCCAAAAUCAAUAUAACCAAAGACAACUGUACAUAAAUUUUAGGUUGGGGUGACCGCGGAGUAUAACAUAACCUCCUCGAUAAACGGGCCAACGCCCUUAUCUACGAAUUACUGUUCUAAGAAUCAACAAUUUGAUGUUUAAUGACCCGAUAACUCGAUCAACGAACCAAGUUACCCUGGGGAUAACAGCGCAAUCUACUUCAAGAGUCCCUAUCGACAAGUAGGCUUACGACCUCGAUGUUGGAUCAGGGUGUCCUAGUGGUGCAGCCGCUAC